rnacentral:rRNA from 1 species
AACCGGAUUAGAUACCCGGGUAGUCCGAGCUGUAAACGAUGUCUGCUAGGUGUGCCACAGGCUACGAGCCUGUGGUGUGCCGUAGGGAAGCCGUGAAGCAGACCGCCUGGGAAGUACGUCCGCAAGGAUGAAACUUAAAGGAAUUGGCGGGGGAGCACUACAACCGGAGGAGCCUGCGGUUUAAUUGGACUCAACGCCGGACAUCUCACCAGCAUCGACAGUAGCAAUGAAAAUCAGUGUGAUGAGCUUAUCGGAGCUACUGAGAGGAGGUGCAUGGCCGCCGUCAGCUCGUACCGUGAGGCGUCCUGUUAAGUCAGGCGACGAGCGAGACCCGCACUCCUAAUUGCCAGCAACACCCUUGUGGUGGUUGGGUACAUUAGGAGGACUGCCAGUGCCAAACUGGAGGAAGGAACGGGCAACGGUAGGUCCGCAUGCCCCGAA